rnacentral:rRNA from 1 species
AGAGUUUGAUCAUGGCUCAGAACGAACGCUGGCGGCGUGGCUAAGGCAUGCAAGUCGAACGAACCAUUUAUAUGGGUAACCAAAUGGAUGGUUAGUGGCGAACGGGUGAGUAAUGCAUAGGUAACGUGCCCCGAACUCUGGGAUAGCCGGGGGAAACUCCGGGUAAUACCGGAUAAUGUCCAGUUGUCGCAUGGCAGUUGGACCAAAGGUUUCGGCUGGUUUAGGAGCGGCCUAUGUCGUAUCAGCUAGUUGGUGAGGUAAUGGCUCACCAAGGCUUCGACGCGUAGCGGGACUGAGAGGUUGUUCCGCCACAUCGGGACUGAGACACUGCCCGGACCCCCACGGGGGGCUGCAGCAACGAAUCUUGCGCAAUGGACGAAAGUCUGACGCAGCGACGCCGCGUGUAGGACGAAGCCCCUCGGGGUGUAAACUACUGUCAGGGUGAAGAAAGAUCUGAUCGAACCCAGAGGAAGGACCGGCUAACUUCGUGCCAGCAGCCGCGGUAAUACGAAGGGUCCUGGCGUUGUUCGGAAUUACUGGGCUUAAAGAGCACGUAGGCGGGAAAGUAAGUGUCUUGUGAAAGUCCUCGGCUUAACCGAGGAACUGCAGGGCAUACUGCUUUCCUUGAGACAGGUAGGGGCGCGUGGAACUCUAGGUGGAGCGGUGAAAUGCGUAGAUAUCUAGAGGAACGCCUGUGGUGAAAACGGCGCGCUGGGCCUGGUCUGACGCUGAGGUGCGAAAGCGUGGGUAGCGAACAGGAUUAGAUACCCUAGUAGUCC